rnacentral:lncRNA from 1 species
CAACAAAAUGCCUCAGUGAAAUAAGUUGAGCUCCUGUAAAGAAAAGCAGCUUUUAGUGCCAAGAAGUUAGCACCGGCAACCACCUCAGCCUCCGUGGGGGCUCCGACACGUUGCAUAAUAAGAUAAAGGGAACUUGAAAACCCGCCUGCAUUAGGAAGAUAUGUUUCUGAGAGUCAGAAGCUGAGUGAUGGACCCUUGAACUUCAUCCCAGUCAGAGGCAGACAUGAGUACACCGGUAGAAAUCAUUAAGCUGACUUCUUAGUCUGCACUUGCUCCCUCUCCAGCGCACGGAUUGCUCAGAGUAACCUGUUCUGAUCCUUCCUGACCAACUCUUUUUUUCACAGUGUUCUCCCAUCAUCCUGAACACUUUCAGGAAAACAAAACAAUCCUGUCAACAAAAGACACCAGAGCACCAACGUGAUCAACAGAGAAUGUAGAUUGGAGACCUUCAUGUCUGAAAAUCUGGGCAGAGUCGAGGCAGAAUUCCUGAGGCAGCUUCCUGGAUGCCUACGAGUAACUUCUAAAUUAAUCUUGCAGAUAGGAGCACUGCCCUGUGAAAACAGAAGUCAAAGUGAGAAAACCAGAAAAGCCA